UAUUAAGCCGGAGGAAGGUGGGACGACGUCAAGUCAGCAUGACCUUUAUAUCCAGGGCUACACACACGCUACAAUGGUCAGUACAAUGGGUUGCCAAGCCGCGAGGCGGAGCCAAUCCUAAAAAGCUGGCCUCAGUUCAGAUUGCAGUCUGAAACUCGACUGCAUGAAGUCGGAGUUGCUAGUAAACGCAGGUCAGCUAUACUGCGUUGAGUACGUUCCCGGGGCUU
rnacentral:rRNA from 1 species